UUUAUGCACCAAAUAUCCAUAAAAAAAAAAAAAAACAAACAACAAAAAAACAUUGUAAUAUAUUCCAUGUGAAUGUUACCUCUGUGUAUUUGAUUUCUACAUUCCAUUCAACCCCAGUGUGAUAUAUUUAUCAAAUAUCAAAACAAAUUGGUCACAGAAUUUUUUAAAAAGCUGCAGUUGAAUUUUAGACUAUGUCAGAUCAGUUAAGAUAAAUAUCAGUUAUAUCAAUUUCAACUGUCAUUUCGUCACUGAAGAAUAUAAAACCUAGCUACUGAAUUUCAGAUUUACCACUGGCAACAUAUAUCAGAGCUCCUCACCUUAAUCAGGUGAGUGUGGAGCAGCUAGUGAACCAGACAGGAAGUCUAGACAAAGCAAGGAGUGCCCAUUUGUUACUGGGAUGCUAUUGCAUUUACCACUGGCAACAUAUCAGAGCUCCUCACCUUAAUCAGGUGAGUGUGGAGCAGCUAGUGAACCAGACAGGAAGUCUAGACAAAGCAAGGAGUGCCCAUUUGUUAUUGGGAUGUUAUUGCAUUUACCACUGGCAACAUAUAUCAGAGCUCCUCACCUUAUUCCCCUGAGUGUGGAGCAGCUAGUGAACCUGACAGGAAGUCUAGACAA